rnacentral:rRNA from 1 species
UACACUCCUGCGGGAGGCAGCAGUGGGGAAUUUUGGACAAUGGGCGAAAGCCUGAUCCAGCAAUGCCGCGUGAGUGAAGAAGGCCUUCGGGUUGUAAAGCUCUUUUGUCAGGGAAGAAACGGUGAAAGCUAAUAUCUUUUGCUAAUGACGGUACCUGAAGAAUAAGCAUCGGCUAACUACGUGCCAGCAGCCGCGGUAAUACGUAGGGUGCAAGCGUUAAUCGGAAUUACUGGGCGUAAAGCGUGCGCAGGCGGUUUUGUAAGUCUGAUGUGAAAUCCCCGGGCUCAACCUGGGAAUUGCAUUGGAGACUGCAAGGCUAGAAUCUGGCAGAGGGGGGUAGAAUUCCACGUGUAGCAGUGAAAUGCGUAGAUAUGUGGAGGAACACCGAUGGCGAAGGCGGCCCCCUGGGUCAAGAUUGACGCUCAUGCACGAAAGCGUGGGGAGCAAACAGGAUUAGAAACCCCUGUAGUCCC